UACGUAGGGGCUAGCGUUGUCCGGAAUCAUUGGGCGUAAAGAGCGUGUAGGCGGCUCGGUAAGUCCGCUGUGAAAGUCCAGGGCUCAACCCUGGAAUGCCAGUGGAAACUGUCGAGCUAGAGUCCGGAAGAGGCGAGUGGAAUUCCUGGUGUAGCGGUGAAAUGCGCAGAUAUCAGGAGGAACACCAAUGGCGAAGGCAGCUCGCUGGGACGGUAACUGACGCUGAGGCGCGAAAGCGUGGGGAGCAAACAGG
rnacentral:rRNA from 1 species